CUCGAACUCCGAACGGGCAAGGAGCCGGGGUCGCCCGAUCGGACCCCGGACGUGAAGUCGACGAUGGUCGGUGGGCUGGUUUUGGUAAGCAGAACGGGCGAUUCGGGAUGAACCGGAAGCGGGGAGAAAGGGCCCGAGAUUGCGUCGACGCGGAUCCCCGAAAAGGGCGUCGAUCCGUCGCGACAGCGGGACGGUGGUCAUGGAAGUCGAAAUCCGCUAAGAAGCGUGUAAAAACGUACCCGCCCAACGGAUCGGCCCCCGAAAAUUGAUGGCGCUCGAACGCAACCCUCGAACCCCGCCGACGGAGGCUAGGGGAGGCCCCGUCGAGUAGGCGGACGCGCGGGUCGCUUCGACGCUCCCGCGCGAGCGGGGGCGGAGCGGCCCGUGGUGCAGAUCUUGGUGGUAGUAGCGAUCACCCAGGCGAGAACCCUGAGGGCCGAAGUGGAGAA
rnacentral:rRNA from 1 species